UCGAGCGAGUUUAGACUCGCGGCGAAUAGCUCAGUAACACGUGGCCAAGCUCCCCUUCAGUCAGCGAUACCCUCGGGAAACUGAGGUUAACAGCUGAUACAAAACGCCAGCUGGAAUGCGGCGUUUCAGAAAGACAUCGCUGAAGGAUGCGGCUGCGGCCGAUAGGUAGACGGUGGGGUAACGGCUCACCGUGCCAGUAAUCGGUACGGGUGAUGAGAGUCAGAGCCCGGAGACGGAAUCUGAGACAAGAUUCCGGGCCCUACGGGGCGCAGCAGGCGCGAAACCUUUACACUGCACAGAAGUGCGAUAGGGGAAUCCCAAGUGCGAGGGCAUAUUAGCCCUCGCUUUUCUCGACUGUAAGGUGGUCGACGAAUAAGAGCUGGGCAAGACCGGUGCCAGCCGCCGCGGUAAUACCGGCAGCUCAAGUGAUGUCCCAUGUUAUUGGGCCUAAAGCGUCCGUAGCUGGCCGACCAAGUCUACCGGGAAAUCCACCCGCCCAACGGGUGGGCGUCCGGUAGAAACUGGCCGGCUUGGAACCGGAAGGCUCAGAGAGUACGUCCGGGGUAGGAGUGAAAUCCUGUAAUCCCGGACGGACUACCGAUGG
rnacentral:rRNA from 1 species